GAGAAAGAGAAUGAGUGAGGGAAACUUGCUUUCCAGAGAAAACACUUUCUAUGGUCUGUGCUUUAGGCUGUCAGCAAUAGUAAAGAUUAAUGACAAUAGCCAGUAUCUCUUUCCUGGGCUUCACAAAUGCGAACCCUCCAUCUCGAUCGCUUUCUCCCACCAACAAGCAGCACCCCAGGUGGUCUGCACAACACAGAACCUGCAAAGGCGCUUCCAAAACCAUGUGAAAGACAUGGUCAACUGAAUUAAAUGUGGCAUCUGUCAAAUAUAAAGAAGAAAAUCACAAUCAUCGGUCCUUCCGAAGUCCCCACUUUUUCCCACAAGAAAUGUUGUUCAUUUGGGGUGUUUACAAUGUUUUUAACUUUGCAGCUAGCAAACAAUAUAAUUGUAGGGUCUUGCGCAUUAAUUUGCCUGUACAUUGUUUUGUUUUUCUAAGAGUGAUGGAUUUGGGUCUGAGAUGUGGUUAAGACUGCAACUUUCCAUUAUGCAGCUGUUUCAGAGGGAAAGGUCUGUGUGUUCUGGAAGACCUGGGGAUUAUUUGUAUAUCUGCUUUAUGGGUUUGGGCUCUGUAAUGCUGCCAGUUAGAUGAAACUCUGUGUUUCCUCACUCACUGCUUCCUGCCCCAGCAACAUCCCACAACAUGCCUUUAGGGGGAGGUGGGUAUGAGAACUUUCUAUUAAUGAUGUGUGAUACUUUUGUAAUAUCUUUAUUGAUAGCAUUAUAUAGCUAUCAUAAUAA
ensembl:lncRNA